GAAGAGGGUUUAUAGUGCUCCACUGGGGAAAAGGGCUUUUGUCUUUGUUGAUGACCUAAACAUGCCUGCCAAGGAGAAAUAUGGUGCCCAGCCUCCCAUUGAACUGCUGCAGCAACGGAUUGACCAUGGCUACUGGUUUGACAGCUUUACAUGGCAGUCUCAGCCUGUGAUCCCUCAGUGCUUUUCAGAGACAGGCAUGAAAGUUGGCAGGUAAGAAGUCCCAAGGAAAUCAUGCCCUUGUGUUUGGAUUAUCUGUCAGCCCCUGCUCCCUAAGAACUUGUGAACCAGUUUUUGACACAGC